rnacentral:rRNA from 1 species
GACGAACGCUGGCGGCGUGCUUAACACAUGCAAGACGAACGAUGAAGCCGGAGCUUGCUCUGGUGAAUUAGUGGCGAACGGGUGAGUAACACGUGAGUAACCUGCACUUGACUCUGGGAUAACUGCUAGAAAUGGUAGCUAAUACCGGAUACGACCCUCGGCGGCAUCGCCAGGGGGUGGAAAGAAUUUCGGUCAAGGAUGGACUCGCGGCCUAUCAGCUAGUUGGUGAGGUAACGGCUCACCAAGGCGACGACGGGUAGCCGGCCUGAGAGGGUGACCGGACACACUGGUACUGAGACACGGCCCAGACUCCUACGGGAGGCAGCAGUGGGGAAUAGUGCACAAUGGGCGCAGGCCUGAUGCAGCAACGCCGCGUGAGGGAUGACGGCCUUCGGGUUGUAAACCUCUUUUAGUAGGGAAGAAGCGAAAGUGACGGUACCUGCAGAAAAAGCACCGGCUAACUACGUGCCAGCAGCCGCAGUAA